UACGGGGGGGCAAGCGUUGUUCGGAAUUACUGGGCGUAAAGGGCGCGUAGGCGGUUCGCUAAGUUGGAUGUGAAAACUCUGGGCUCAACCCAGAGCCUGCAUCCAAAACUGGCGGGCUAGAGUUCUGGAGGGGGUAGCGGAAUUCCUGGUGUAGCGGUGAAAUGCGUAGAUAUCAGGAGGAACACCGGUGGCGAAGGCGGCUUCUGGACAGAAACUGACGCUGAUGCGCGAAAGCUAGGGGAGCAAACAGG
rnacentral:rRNA from 1 species